rnacentral:lncRNA from 1 species
AGGACCCACGAUAUGCCAGAUACCUCAAGAUGGUUCAAGUGCUGCUGUCCUUCACAGAUGCCACCGUUGCCAUGCUCCCGCGGGGGUUCCCAUGCUAAUGCCACGGGUGCCACUCUUCAUUUCUAGUCCUUUGCUACACUGCUUUUACAACUGGUGCUCCAUGUGCUUGGGAAAUGUAGUCUGAGUCUGAACCUUCAGAAGGUCAGCGCUUCUCGGUCACACAGGAAGAACAGCCACCUGACACCGAACCGAUGCACUCACAUGGAGCCCAUCACCCCUGGAGCUGCUGAUGGACGCUUGGCUACCGAACACUUGCAUUCUUUGUUUUUAAUGCUGUACCAGAUACUUUAAAAGUUAAUUUUAAUUAAAGUCAAGUUUAGGGG